CCUACGGGGGGCUGCAGUGGGGAAUAUUGCACAAUGGGCGCAAGCCUGAUGCAGCCAUGCCGCGUGUGUGAAGAAGGCCUUCGGGUUGUAAAGCACUUUCAGCGGGGAGGAAGGCGGUGAGGUUAAUAACCUCAUCGAUUGACGUUACCCGCAGAAGAAGCACCGGCUAACUCCGUGCCAGCAGCCGCGGUAAUACGGAGGGUGCAAGCGUUAAUCGGAAUUACUGGGCGUAAAGCGCACGCAGGCGGUCUGUCAAGUCGGAUGUGUAAUCCCCGGGCUCAACCUGGGAACUGCAUUCGAAACUGGCAGGCUAGAGUCUUGUAGAGGGGGGUAGAAUUCCAGGUGUAGCGGUGAAAUGCGUAGAGAUCUGGAGGAAUACCGGUGGCGAAGGCGGCCCCCUGGACAAAGACUGACGCUCAGGUGCGAAAGCGUGGGGAGCAAACAGGAUUAGAUACCCGUGUAGUC
rnacentral:rRNA from 1 species